rnacentral:rRNA from 1 species
GCAGUAGGAUAGGCGAAGCGUGCGAUUGGAUUGCACGUCUAAGCAGUAAGGCUGAGUAUUAGGCAAAUCCGGUACUCGUUAAGGCUGAGCUGUGAUGGGGAGAAGACAUUGUGUCUUCGAGUCGUUGAUUUCACACUGCCGAGAAAAGCCUCUAGAUAGAAAAUAGGUGCCCGUACCGCAAACCGACACAGGUAGUCAAGAUGAGAAUUCUAAGGUGAGCGAGCGAACUCUCGUUAAGGAACUCGGCAAAAUGACCCCGUAACUUCGGGAGAAGGGGUGCUCUUUAGGGUUAACGCCCAGAAGAGCCGCAGUGAAUAGGCCCAAGCGACUGUUUAUCAAAAACACAGGUCUCUGCUAAACCGUAAGGUGAUGUAUAGGGGCUGACGCCUGCCCGGUGCUGGAAGGUUAAGAGGAGUGGUUAGCUUCUGCGAAGCUACGAAUCGAAGCCCCAGUAAACGGCGGCCGUAACUAUAACGGUCCUAAGGUAGCGAAAUUCCUUGUCGGGUAAGUUCCGACCCGCACGAAAGGCGUAACGAUUUGGGCACUGUCUCAACGAGAGACUCGGUGAAAUCAUAGUACCUGUGAAGAUGCAGGUUACCCGCGACAGGACGGAAAGACCCCGUGGAGCUUUACUGUAGCCUGAUAUUGAAAUUCGGCACAGCUUGUACAGGAUAGGUAGGAGCCUUUGAAACGUGAGCGCUAGCUUACGUGGAGGCGCUGGUGGGAUACUACCCUAGCUGUGUUGGCUUUCUAACCCGCACCACUUAUCGUGGUGGGAGACAGUGUCAGGCGGGCAGUUUGACUGGGGCGGUCGCCUCCUAAAAGGUAACGGAGGCGCUCAAAGGUUCCCUCAGAAUGGUUGGAAAUCAUUCAUAGAGUGUAAAGGCAUAAGGGAGCUUGACUGCGAGACCUACAAGUCGAGCAGGGUCGAAAGACGGACUUAGUGAUCCGGUGGUUCCGCAUGGAAGGGCCAUCGCUCAACGGAUAAAAGCUACCCCGGGGAUAACAGGCUUAUCUCCCCCAAGAGUUCACAUCGACGGGGAGGUUUGGCACCUCGAUGUCGGCUCAUCGCAUCCUGGGGCUGUAGUCGGUCCCAAGGGUUGGGCUGUUCGCCCAUUAAAGCGGUACGCGAGCUGGGUUCAGAACGUCGUGAGACAGUUCGGUCCCUAUCCGUCGUGGGCGUAGGAAAUUUGAGAGGAGCUGUCCUUAGUACGAGAGGACCGGGAUGGACAUACCUCUGGUGUACCAGUUGUCGUGCCAACGGCAUAGCUGGGUAGCUAUGUGUGGACGGGAUAAGUGCUGAAAGCAUCUAAGCAUGAAGCCCCCCUCAAGAUGAGAUUUCCCAACUUCGGUUAUAAGAUCCCUCAAAGAUGAUGAGGUUAAUAGGUUCGAGGUGGAAGCAUGGUGACAUGUGGAGCUGACGAAUACUAAUCGAUCGAAGACUUAAUCAA